GGGGAUGUAUUUGGUUUCGACAGUAUUUUAGAAGUAAAAAUAGCGAGUAGUGGAUUCGCCUGGCCACUAUAAAAGGCGAAAAAUAAAUAUAAACGCUGAUAAUAGAGAAUUAGCAUACGCUGCCUAAUUAAGGUAGCUCGUCUUACUCUGAAUGCCCACGUUUAGAGAAUAAGGCGUCAUUUAGUGGGAAACAAACCUAUUUCUUGCCAUAGAAAUAGCGGGUAUUUUAAUGGCUACUCUAAUUUAAAUUUUGUUUGUUAAUUUAAUUUUAGAGGAAUUUUUAUAACAAACUACACUCGUAGAAGUUUUUAUGGAUGGAAUAUUGGACAGGAGUUCGACUCUCCUCAUCUCCACCA
rnacentral:tmRNA from 1 species